UGUUCUAUAGUGUAGCGGUCAUCACGUCUGCUUUACACGGAAAAAGUCCUGAGUUCAAUCCCCACUGGACCAU